GUUCUCCUGAUCUCCACAGCAGUCCCCAGGGUGAAUUAAGCCAGGAGCUGUUGCAGUUGUUGGCUUGGCUCUGCAAGUCCUACCACCAGGAGACUCAGAGAAACCACCCAGUCUUGAAAGCAGCCUGCCAGCUAUUCAAACUAUGUGGGGCUGAGACCACCAAAUACCCAGAUGGGACCAGACUCCUCUCUUCACCAUAGUUUCCAUGCAUGCGGACUUAAAAAAAUAUUUGGGGUCUGCAGGGGCCCCACUUUUAGUAUAUAGGAGCUUGCAGAUUUCCAGCUUUGCAGAUAUUUGAUGCUGGUCUUACAGAGAACAGUUUCCCCACAACCCCGGAUGUGCAUUUUUUAAAUUCAGACAGAGUGUAUUAGAUUCCUUUUCAGGUAAUAAUUUGUAUUUUUAAUUUAAUACUAACUUUUCUUCAUUAAAGAUUCACAUAGAUUGAGAUACCCAUUAAUUACUCUCCAUUAUUCAAUGCUGCCCCUUAAAUUUAAAGAAUAAACAUUCUAAAAAAGUCCAUAAUCAAAAGGCUAACCUAUACCCAGGGCAGCAUUCCUGUUGGAACACUUGUAAUUAAUAGCUGGAGCUCUUUGCAAAGCUGUUCAGUCUCAUUACUCUCUACGUAGUUGAAAAUAACAAAUGUUUCCAUAAUCUGUUCUGCCAUCUUGAUCUGUGUGUUGUGUCAUGCAUGCUCCUCAGUGAGACCUAGUGCAGCUGUUGGAGAUGGUAACGAUGAGGGAAUACGUUUGUGGACUUUAUAUAUCAUCCUUUGUAAUCCAAGAAGCCACAGCUGACUUUAUAGCAAGCCCUGACAUGAACAUCAUAUGCCUCUCUAUAAAGCAACAUGCAAAAUAAGGCUAGCUACAGCAAAGCAGGGGCACAACUGAAGAAUCUUGCCUUAGAACAAGAUUCCGUGAAACAGGGAAACUGAGCCCUAGGAAGCUAAUAUGAAACCUGGUAGCAGUCUGACAUGUUGGAAGAAACUGCACAUUCUCACAGCACUAGAAAUCUGUCUUAAAAUCAUGUGGGAAUGACAUGUAGUGAACACAGAAAAAAAUAAAAGGCUAGCAGAGGUCUGCAGAGAUCCACUUCCUUUUUUUCUUUACAGGAUCUCCACUCUCCAGGAUGGGGAGAAGGGAAGCUUUCUGGAAGUCAUGGGUAUCCAAUGCAAUCACAGACAAAGUCUUCCUACUUCUAGAAAUGCCCCUGAACUGGCGUUUGACUUCACUAAGUGAAGCAACGAUGCCAGGUACGAACGUCAUCUCUGGAACACCCUAGGCCAAUGUUGCCGAAUAACUUAACUGCCCACACAGUCACAUCUCAGUUCACAUUGUUGAGCUUACACAUGAUACAAAUCAACCUUGGAAGAUUUUAUGUUAGGAUGCUCCAAAGCCAUUUUUGUGAUAUGUAACAAGACCAUCUAUUAGACUGUGAGCCUACAGGCCG